rnacentral:misc_RNA from 1 species
GAUGAAGAACGUAGCGAAAUGCGAUACGUAAUGUGAAUUGCAGAUUUCAGUGAAUCAUCGAAUCUUUGAACGCACAUUGCGCCCGCUAGUAUUCUGGCGGGCAUGCCUGUUCGAGCGUCAUUUCAACCAUCAAGCCCUAGGCUUGCGUUGGAGCCCUGCGGCUGCCGCAGGCUCCCAAAUCCAGUGGCGGGCUCGUCGUCGUACCGAGUGCAGUAAACAUCCUCGCUCAGGGAACGUGACGGGUUCUUGCCGUGAAACCCCCCACAUAUCAAGGUUGACCUCGGAUCAGGUAGGAAUACCCGCUGAACUUAAGCAUAACAAUAAGCGGAGGA